rnacentral:miRNA from 1 species
CCUGCGUGUGUGUGUGUGUGUGUGUGUGUGUGUGUGUGUGUGUGUGUCCCUGCGCAUGGGCAUGCGCA